GAAUUGUGUCGGCUAAGGCUAGUGAUUAAUUUUUCUUUUAUUGUAGUACCUAUAUAAUUGUUUGUGUGUGUCAUAAAAGCAUAUUUUGCAUACUGAGCAGUUAAAGCCAAUUCCUGAAUGAAUGUUAAAAAAUCUUGGGAGACCUAAUUUUCAUAGUGAGGAACUUAUACAGAACUAGGACAAUAAUGGUGAAGUUAAUCAACCUUGCAGAGCACACAGUAAUCACCAGAGGGGGGAUCUCCAGAUACUCCAGAUCUCCAUAUUCAGCUCAACACUUAACAUGCAAGCAUACAAGACCACACACAAACAUUAUAUAAAUAACAUAACUCUACAUGGUUAUCAAAUGCACAUACACACUCAUGCAUACAACACCACAAAUAUUAAAAACCAUUAAAAACCACUAGCCUUAGCCAUCUUGAUGGUUACUGUUGUUAUAAUGUUGUCAGAAUGCCUGUUGUUUAGUAUCGUUUAUUUGUUUUUGUUGUACAAUGAAAUUUACAUUUCUGAACUGCUGUAUGUUUCAUGUUUAAAUUAUUCAGUGGAAAAAUAAAGCUUUUAACAUUUCACAGCUGUCCAUUGUUUCUGUAUUUUAGGUGUUAAGAACAUAAAAUUAUUCAUCUAAAUGAGCUUACAUUUCAUCAUGAGGGUAAACUAGACUUUUUUUGGUAGAAAUAACAAAAAUGUGUUAGUAAACACAACUUAAAAUUGUGAGUCACACCAACCGAAAAAAUUAAGCAAAAUCCCUUGCUGGGAAUAGGGUUAGGGUUACUCAAAAAUUUAAGCAAUGCCUACUAAAGAAUUUAAGGUAAUGCUGCUUAAAAUUUAAUGUAGAACUGGCUUAAAAAAUUGGUCGCAAAAAUGAUGCACUAUAUUUUUAAGUAACUUCAGCGUAAUUUUUUUUUCAGUGUAGUAUAUUAUUAACAGUUUUCUAAAUUUUUGCUGUCCCACCAUAGGACACAUGUACAGUAUAUUUGUCAACAGUUUUUUUUUUCAAUUUUAUUUAUUACACUU